AGUGCUUUUCAAGAAUAAAUAUAAAAAUAUUUGGUUGUGAUUACGCGUAGUAAAAAUAAAUGCACAUAAAAGUGUUUGCUUAAGAAAAAAACGAGAAGAGAAAAAAAUCGUAAAGAACUUCGAACUUCUUGGCUUGCGGAGUCGCUGUCAAUUUUUGUUGUUGUUUGCGUUGCAACGCAGUUUAUUGCCCUAUUAAUUGACGAACUACGGUGAACAAAAAGAAAAUAUAUUAACAAGAUUU